rnacentral:lncRNA from 1 species
CGCGCAUGCGCAGCAGCUCCCGCUGCUGAAUAGCUGAGAGGCGCACUGGGGCGCAAGCUGGGCUCGGAGUGCAGCGGGGUCAGGAUGGACGAGGACGUGUUGCACCCUGAAGAGCCUCAUCAUCGGCGAGAGUGGGGUGGGCAAGUACAGCCUGCUCUUGAGGUUCACAGAUGAUAACUUUGAUCCAGAACUUACAGCAACAAUAGGCAGUCCACUUUACAUCACUUUCCAGACAAC